CCUACGGGUGGCUGCAGUGGGGAAUAUUGGACAAUGGGGGGAACCCUGAUCCAGCCAUGCCGCGUGUGUGAAGAAGGCCCUCGGGUUGUAAAGCACUUUCAGUGAGGAAGAACGCCUGGUGGUUAAUACCCAUCAGGAAAGACAUCACUCACAGAAGAAGCACCGGCUAACUCCGUGCCAGCAGCCGCGGUAAUACGGAGGGUGCGAGCGUUAAUCGGAAUUACUGGGCGUAAAGCGCGCGUAGGUGGCUUGAUAAGCCGGUUGUGAAAGCCCCGGGCUCAACCUGGGAACGGCAUCCAGAACUGUCAAGCUAGAGUGCAGGAGAGGAAGGUAGAAUUCCCGGUGUAGCGGUGAAAUGCGUAGAGAUCGGGAGGAAUACCAGUGGCGAAGGCGGCCUUCUGGACUGACACUGACACUGAGGUGCGAAAGCGUGGGUAGCAAACAGGAUUAGAUACCCGAGUAGUC
rnacentral:rRNA from 1 species